rnacentral:rRNA from 1 species
GCAGUAGCCGCGGGAAUACGGAGGAUCCGAGCGUUAUCCGGAUUUAUUGGGUUUAAAGGGUGCGUAGGCGGCUUUUUAAGUCAGGGGUGAAAGACGGUAGCUUAACUAUCGCAGUGCCCUUGAUACUGAAGAGCUUGAAUGUACUUGAGGUAGGCGGAAUGUGACAAGUAGCGGUGAAAUGCAUAGAUAUGUCACAGAACACCAAUUGCGAAGGCAGCUUACUAAAGUAUGAUUGACGCUGGGGCACGAAAGCGUGGGAGCAAACAGGAUUAGAUACCCCUGUAGUCCCUGUCUCUUAUACA